rnacentral:rRNA from 1 species
UACACUCCUGCGGGAGGCAGCAGUGGGGAAUUUUGGACAAUGGGCGAAAGCCUGAUCCAGCAAUGCCGCGUGAGUGAAGAAGGCCUUCGGGUUGUAAAGCUCUUUUGUCAGGGAAGAAACGGUGAAAGCUAAUAUCUUUUGCUAAUGACGGUACCUGAAGAAUAAGCACCGGCUAACUACGUGCCAGCAGCCGCGGUAAUACGUAGGGUGCAAGCGUUAAUCGGAAUUACUGGGCGUAAAGCGUGCGCAGGCGGUUUUGUAAGUCUGAUGUGAAAUCCCCGGGCUCAACCUGGGAAUUGCAUUGGAGACUGCAAGGCUAGAAUCUGGCAGAGGGGGGUAGAAUUCCACGUGUAGCAGUGAAAUGCGUAGAUAUGUGGAGGAACACCGAUGGCGAAGGCAGCCCCCUGGGUCAAGAUUGACGCUCAUGCACGAAAGCGUGGGGAGCAAACAGGAUUAGAAACACGUGUAGUCCCAUGAU